rnacentral:lncRNA from 1 species
UAGCAGUUAUCAUAGCAUUUUCAAAACCAUCAUCAUCUCUAUGUUACUAAAACAACCCUUUUACUCCUUCUCUUGCAACAUCAAUUACAUUACCAUAUAACUAUAGAUAACACAAAUGCAAAACUACAAAGUUCAUUUACAGCUAAAGAUUUAGCUUCACUUUGGAUACAAGGAUCAUUAUGAUCUUCAUCUAAAACUUGA